CAAAUCUUGAAACCUUGUAGUACUCCUGCUUUCCUGCAACAUCAAAAUAGUAGAAGAGUAAGACAGCAUACGCAAAAGUAAGUAGAAAGUAACAUAAUCCCGCUAAUCCUUUCACAACCCAAGUAACCAUAAAACUAGUACGAAAUAGGGAAUGAUACAGGAAUACAAUUUGACAAACUUGUCUGAGUUCUCCCGUGCACAGUUAACCUGCAAUGAAGCAUUUAAAAGAUCUUUAGAUUAGAACUUAGUAGUUAAAUAAAUUAAGUAACAUGAUUUCGAAAGGAAUAGAAUGUUCUUUGAGCACAAUGAUAAAGACAAACUUUCAUCCCAGUGGAAAGUUCUUAAACAGUCUCACUGAUGAAAAGGGGAUAACAUAUCAUGUGUCUUAAGGAUUUCAUUUACUUUUUCCUUCUUUAACUACCAAGAAAAAAAAAAUUUGAACUCUUGCUAUUUAGGCAUUGCAACUGGCCAAAUUACAACUUGAGGGCAUUAAGCUUAAACCAAUAUCACUACCUACCUGAAACCUUCAGGUAAUUAUCCGUUCGACUGGUUCACCCAGAAGCAGUGGUGGCGUCGGGAUUUCCACCAAGGGGAUUCAAAAUGUAAAGAAGUAAAUACACGAAAAAGCCAAUAGCAUUCAAAAUCUUACUAUAUAUACAUAAAAAAUGAUUUUGAUCAUAUAUAUACCAUGCGCCCCAGACCCCACAUGUGGGACUACAGUGGGUUGCAUACAUUGUACUGACUACCUCUGCAGGUAUUAUGGACCACGAGGAGGCUCGAAGGAAGAAUGUUGGUGUAAAGGUUCUUGGUUUCUUUUGUUAAGUAAACACCCAGUUUUGGUCUACUUCGGCCUUCAUUACAAUUCAAAGUUUGUUCUGACUUUUGUUUUCCUUCAAUUGUUAGUUGGGAUAUUAUCAUACAAGAUUAUUAGUAUUGUUAACUUGCAUCAGUAGAAUAUAUAAGUUGCUGUUUGUCUAUCAGUUAUCUAUCUUUUACAAGUUUUUUGUGUUUUAGUGUGUUAGUUGGAGCCGAUAUGAACAUCCUGAGCUUUGCAUUUUGAUCACUGAAUCAAAUAGUUGUGACCUUUGUGUUAAGUCAACAUCUGGGAAUUAUUUGUCAUAGCCUCUCCGAUAAUGUUUCCCUAAGCUGGCACUUGUAGAUAAUUCUCAAACUUGCUUAGAACGAUAUUUAUAUCUAGUACCGUUUUGUCAUCUACAAUGCAACGUAUUUUUAAUUAUACUCAUUGAAUAGUGUUUCUUCCUCGAUUCUCUGCUAUUUUAUCGGGCCAAAUGUUAUGGGUUUACAUAUUUAGUCAGCGUCUUCUAUGUUAUGUCAUUGACUCGUGUUGUGCUGAAGAAACAACUAAUGGUUGGAAUCUACUGAUUUGUUAUUCUUGUUUCUUUUUGGAUGGUAUUUUAUCCACUCGUGAAUAGCAAGUUUUGUUUUCCUUACGACCAGAAACUAAGGUAAAAGAACAAUGCCAAAGGUUCUUAGUUGCCCUGACGUUAAAAUUACUAUCAUGACUUGGCCGCCUUCAUCUCAAUCAACCUUGCCCGUACUUCUUAAGCAAAAAGGAAAAAAAAACCUUCCCUGUACACUGCAGCCAUUUCCGCCGCCCGCCAUGUUUUCCUGCAUUAAGAUCCCAUCAGGUUUCAGAACAAAAAAGAAAACAGAGACCAAAUUGUGGUAUGGCAAAUGGUUGAAAGUGAGGAAAGCAAAGUGCAGUCCAAUUUUUAAUGGUUGCUUGGUUUCUUCAUCAAUCCUAAAGCCUGCGCAAAGUAAUGCCAUCUCAAACACCUCCCUCUCCAGGACGUCCAACUUUGCACUUCAAUGGAUUUUAGAGCUUCUUCUUAUCUCAGAUAUAUCGCGGUAAAAAACAUGUGCAGAGAUGUCUUCCAACCAAACAAAUAAACAUCCAUGUACAGAAGAGCGAAAUUAUCAAAUGAAGCUCGAAGGAGAUACUUAUAUGAAGAUAACAGCUGAUAAAAAAGAGGCAAUGUUACUACGACGACGCACCAAAGAGCUGCAGCUACAAAAAUGCAAUCCUCCCAUAAAAUCAGUUGUUGACUACCCAGUUGAAAGAAUAAAGUCUCACUGUAAUCCUACAGCGUCAAAACAAACUGCUCUUACUAUAAGAGAGCCUUCUUCUGCUAAUAUCCUAGGUUGGAAUGACAAACUGCUUCAUCUUUUCUUCUGCUGAUGUCAAAAUAGAAUGAUCUACCUCCAUGCCAACUUAAUGUGGAAUGUGUUUGACAUACCAUGCAGAAGACGGCUGCCAUGAGGUUAAUACUUUAUCGAGUCCUUUUUUUUUAUGUAGUACGUGGUUGUAUUGAAAAGCAUCAAGUAGAUGCAAGAAAGUUACAAAGAAAAGUAGGUGAUAACUCCAAAAAACAAAAAAAUAAGUAAGAUCUGGGAGUUAAAACUAGGGCUGGGCAUAAAUACCGAAAAUCGAAAAACCGGACCGAACCAAAUCGAACUUCAAAAAGUUGAAACCAAAAGAACCGAACCGAACUAUUUUGGUUCGUGUUUGGUGUCCACCUUCAAAAAAUCGAAACCGAAUAGCCGAAUCGAAGAACCGAAUGCUCACCGAAAUUUAAUACAUUAUUCAAAAAAAUUAAAAUAGUUCAGGCUCAUUAAAUUUAAGCUAAAAAAAAAUUCAAUUGUAACAAGCUCUUUUUUGCUUUUGUAUUCUUAAUUUUCCACUUCAGUUGAGAAAAUCAAAUAUCCUUAACAAAAGAAGGUGACUAGGAUGUAUCUUUAGGAUUAAUGUAUGUCCUUUAUGUGUUUUCUUAGUUAUUCUUACUGUAUGUAUAUAACACCGAGUAAUAAUCCUAUAUUAUGGUUAUGAUUUUC